CUGUACGGGCACUAUGGUUGGCAGUCCAGGGUCUUAGGUCGGCUGUUCAGGUUCUUUAGUGGGCUGUUCAGACUCUUAUUUAGCU